rnacentral:lncRNA from 1 species
AAACACAAAACCCUAGAAAAUCUUGUUAGCACAAAAAUAAAAAUUAAAAAAAGGAAAAACAAAAAUUAGGAAUUGAAAAAUAAAAAAUAAAAAAUAAAAAUGGAAAAAUAAAAAAUAAAAUAAAAAUAAAAUAAAGUCAAAAUUAAUCAAGGAUUACACAAUUAGAAUAGCUUAAUCGUGAGUCCCCGGCAACGAUGCCAAAAACUUAUUGUGGAAAAUCGGCAAGUGUAACGAGUCGCACAAGUAAUAUAAAAGGGUAAG